GUAUAGAUACUGCUCAAGUAAUGGUUAAGUGAGAGGCACUAGUUUACCCAUGCCAGAGGAAACUGCAGCCUCAAACCAUUGCCCAGCCUCCUUACCUAUGGGCUGUGAGCACUGAAGGGGGUUGCACAGUG